rnacentral:rRNA from 1 species
UGGGGAAUAUUGCACAAUGGGCGCAAGCCUGAUGCAGCCAUGCCGCGUGUGUGAAGAAGGCCUUCGGGUUGUAAAGCACUUUCAGCGAGGAGGAAGGGCAGUGUGUUAAUAGCACAUUGCAUUGACGUUACUCGCAGAAGAAGCACCGGCUAACUCCGUGCCAGCAGCCGCGGUAAUACGGAGGGUGCAAGCGUUAAUCGGAAUUACUGGGCGUAAAGCGCACGCAGGCGGUUUGUUAAGUCAGAUGUGAAAUCCCCGCGCUUAACGUGGGAACUGCAUUUGAAACUGGCAAGCUAGAGUCUUGUAGAGGGGGGUAGAAUUCCAGGUGUAGCGGUGAAAUGCGUAGAGAUCUGGAGGAAUACCGGUGGCGAAGGCGGCCCCCUGGACAAAGACUGACGCUCAGGUGCGAAAGCGUGGGGAGCAAACA